CAAAGUAAUUAUAAACAGAAAACUGAAACAGAGUUUGAUGAUUCAUCUAUUUCCAUGUUCAGUCUAGUUCCUAUAAGGCUUCAGAAAUUUGACGGAACAGUUGUUUGGGAAAACGAUCUACCCUAAUCAACUUUUUAUUGCCGUCCAAUAAUGUUUAAAUUUACAAAAGAAACGCAGUCAACAGUGGCAAUUAUAAAAGCUAGCAUAACAGAAGAAAUAGAAAGACUUCAGCCAUCAAAAAUCAAACAAGUUGAAGUGAAUCAUCAAUUGCACAUGACGAUGAUAGACGGCAAAAUAACCUCAUAUUUGUCAGAAACAUUUUCUGCUGCCUGUGAUAUUUGCAAAGCAAAACUGUCAGAGUUUUUUGGAGUCACUUGCUUGUCAAAAAGAAAAUAAUGAAGAAAUAUUCCAGUAUGGAAUGCCAUCUUUACAUGCCUGGAUAAGAUGCAUGGAGUGCUUAAUUCAUAUCGUAUCCAUAAAUUGUUGGCUCAUGGCGGUGAUAUACAAUAAUGAAGAACUUUGGUGCCAUUCGAAUAGGUAAGCUCUCGGAAGAGGCAGCGGAAGCUCUCAAUAAAGAUUUUCGGAAAUA